GACGAACGCUGGCGGCGUGCUUAACACAUGCAAGUCGAGCGUGUGGAUUCCCUUCGGGGAUGAAGCUAGCGGCGGACGGGUGAGUAACACGUGGGCAACCUGCCUUAUAGAGGGGGAUAGCCUUCCGAAAGGAAGAUUAAUACCGCAUAAAGUCAGAUUAUCCCAUGGUAGACUGAUCAAAGGAGCAAUCCGCUAUAAGAUGGGCCCGCGUCGCAUUAGCUAGUUGGUGAGGUAACGGCUCACCAAGGCCACGAUGCGUAGCCGACCUGAGAGGGUGAUCGGCCACAUUGGGACUGAGACACGGCCCAGACUCCUACGGGAGGCAGCAGUGGGGGAUAUUGCACAAUGGGGGAAACCCUGAUGCAGCAACGCCGCGUGAGUGAUGAAGGCCUUCGGGUUGUAAAGCUCUUUGAUCAGGGACGAUAAUGACGGUACCUGAAGAACAAGCCACGGCUAACUACGUGCCAGCCGCCGCCGUAAAAC
rnacentral:rRNA from 1 species